AUCAGCCGCGGUAAUACCAGCUCCAAUAGCGUAUAUUAAAGUUGUUGCAGUUAGAAAGCUCGUAGUUGAAUUUCGGGAUUAUCACGUUGGUCGUGCCUUCGGUACGUACUGGUGUCACUGAUUCCUACCUUCUGAAGAACCAUCAUGUCAUUAAUUUGGUGUGGCGGGGAAUCAGGACUGUUACUUUGAAAAAAUUAGAGUGUUUAAAGCAGGCUCGCGCUUGAAUACAUUAGUCAUGGAAUAAUGAAAUAGGACGUUGACCCUAUUUUGUUGGUUUCUAGGAUUGACGUAAUGAUUAAUAGGGAUAUUUGGGGGCAUUAGUAUUCAAAUUGUCAGAGUGAAAUUCUUGGAUUUAUUGAAGACUGACUAUCUGCGAAAGCAUUUGCCAAGGAUGUUUUCAUAUAAUCAGGAACGAAAGUUAGGGGAUCGAAGACGAUCAGAUACCGUCGUAGUCUUAACCAUAAACUAUGCCGACACUAGGGAUCGGACGGUGUUAUUUGUUUGACCCG
rnacentral:rRNA from 1 species